rnacentral:rRNA from 1 species
UGCAAGUCGAACGAGAAACUCUUCGGAGUGGAAAGUGGCGAAAGGGUGAGUAACGCGUGAGUAACUUGCCUCCAAAUCGAGGAUAACAGUUGGAAACGACUGCUAAUACUGGAUGUGAUAAAAGGACCGCAUGUUUCUUUUAUUAAAGAUCCGUUGUUUGGAGAUAGGCUCGCGUCCCAUUAGUUUGUUGGUAAGGUAACGGCUUACCAAGACUUUGACGGGUAGGUGGUCUGAGAGGAUGGUCACCCACACUGGGACUGAGACACUGCCCAGACUCCUGCGGGAGGCUGCAGUCGAGAAUCUUCCGCAAUGCGCGCAAGCGUGACGGAGCAAUGCCGCGUGAAUGAUGAAGGCCUUCGGGUCGUAAAGUUCUGUCAGGGGUGAAGAACAUUGACAUUAACCCCAGAGGAAGCCACGGCUAACUACGUGCCAGCAGCCGCGGUAAUACGUAGGUGGCGAGCGUUAUUCGGAUUUACUGGGCGUAAAGGAUCCGUAGGGGGUCCAUUAAGUCUGAUGUGAAAUUUCGGGGCUCAACCCCGAAGCUGCAUUGGAAACUGAUGGACUCGAGUCCGUAAGAGGUAAGUGGAAUUCUUGGUGUAGCGGUGGAAUGCGUAGAUAUCAAGAGGAACAUCGAAGGCGAAAGCAGCUUACUGGUACGGUACUGACCCUGAUGGAUGAGAGCUAGGGUAGCGAAAAGGAUUAGAUACCCUUGUAGUCCUAGCUGUAAACGUUGUACACUCGAUGUUGGAAGGUUCAGCCCUUUCAGUGUCUAAGCUAGCGCGAUAAGUGUACCGCCUGGGGAGUACGGCCGCAAGGCUAAAACUCAAAGGAAUUGACGG